rnacentral:lncRNA from 1 species
UCCCAUUCAUUUGCUCUGUUCCAUUUCAAUUCAUUUUUCCUAGCUAGUGAAUAUAAAAGGAAGGACAGAGGAAGCUAUUUUGGCCCAAACACAAGCUCAGAAGACCAGAGAAUGUGCCGUACAAGACUGCCUGCCUUGUCUACAGCCUCUCCUCUCCCUUCUGUGUGGCUGGCAGGGUUUGAAGAGGAGCAGAGGGAUCUGGGACUAUUCUCUCGCAGCUGUCUUGUCCUCCUUUGGUGGCCCACCACAGGAAUGCAAGGACACAUGCGACUUGGGCCGAAUGAUUAGCAAGAGCAUCGCUGGAAGAAUAUUUUACAAGUCAGUCACAGACGCAUCACCACCGCCUGAAAGGUGUGUGUAUAUGCACACGCAUGUGUGCGCACGUGUGCAAAGAGGACAUCAAUUUGACAUGGACUAUGACAAAAAACAG